UACGGGGGGGGGCAAGCGUUGUUCGGAAUUACUGGGCGUAAAGGGCUCGUAGGCGGCCAACUAAGUCAGACGUGAAAUCCCUCGGCUUAACCGGGGAACUGCGUCUGAUACUGGAUGGCUUGAGUUUGGGAGAGGGAUGCGGAAUUCCAGGUGUAGCGGUGAAAUGCGUAGAUAUCUGGAGGAACACCGGUGGCGAAGGCGGCAUCCUGGACCGGCAUUGACGCUGAGGAGCGAAAGCCAGGGGAGCAAACGGG
rnacentral:rRNA from 1 species